CUUGGUGACUCUCGCGAAGGGGCCACACCUGUUCCCAUCUCGAACACAGCAGUUAAGCCCUUCAGCGCCGAUGAUAGUAACUUUCGGGUUGUGAAAGUAGGUCGUUGCCAAAU
rnacentral:rRNA from 2 species